rnacentral:rRNA from 1 species
AUUGAACGCUGGCGGCAGGCUUAACACAUGCAAGUCGAGCGAGCGGCGGACGGGUGAGUAAUGUCUGGGAACCUGCCUGAUGUAGGGGGAUAACUACUGGAAACGGUAGCUAAUACCGCAUACCAUCAGAUGUGCCCAGAUGGGAUGAGCUAGUAGGUGGGGUAAAGGCUCACCUAGGCGACGAUCCCUAGCUGGUCUGAGAGGAUGACCAGCCACACUGGAACUGAGACACGGUCCAGACUCACACGGGAGGCAGCAGUGGGGAAUAUGGCACAAUGGGCGCAAGCCUGAUGCAGCCAUGCCGCGUGUGUGAAGAAGGCCGUCGGGUUGUAAAGCACUUUUAGCGGGGAGGCGUUAUUCGCAGAAGAAGCACCGGCUAACUACGUGCCAGCAGCCGCGGUAAUAC